rnacentral:rRNA from 1 species
GACGAACGCGGCGGCGUGCUAAUACAUGCAAGUAGAACGCUGAAGGAGGAGCUUGCUUCUCUGGAUGAGUUGCGAACGGGUGAGUAACGCGUAGGUAACCUGCCUGGUAGCGGGGGAUAACUAUUGGAAACGAUAGCUAAUACCGCAUAAGAGUAGAUGUCGCAUGACAUUUGCUUAAAAGGUGCAAUUGCAUCACUACCAGAUGGACCUGCGUUGUAUUAGCUAGUUGGUGAGGUAACGGCUCACCAAGGCAACGAUACAUAGCCGACCUGAGAGGGUGAUCGGCCACACUGGGACUGAGACACGGCCCAGACUCCUACGGGAGGCAGCAGUAGGGAAUCUUCGGCAAUGGACGGAAGUCUGACCGAGCAACGCCGCGUGAGUGAAGAAGGUUUUCGGAUCGUAAAGCUCUGUUGUAAGAGAAGAACGAGUGUGAGAGUGGAAAAGUUCACACUG